GUACAACUCCUCAACUACUGCAAAUUAUCUUUAUCAACAAAGACACAAAUGGGCAAGUUUUCAACUAUUGCUCUCCCCCAAAAUUUUGUUUGUCAAUCAUGCACAUUCUCCCUUAGCCAACUACGACAAUAAACUAGCCUUGAACAAUAAGCGCUGCUCGCUGCUCAAUAAAGAGAACCACUUUCUUAGACACUCAGUUGGAUCACAUGGAUUUGCAGCUGGUGCAACUUCAAUGUUACUUCCGACAAGUUCCUCGAACCUAAGAGGAAUUAGGCCAACUAAAGCAAUUCCAAUGGAGAACUGGAGGUGGAGAUCCAUUCUUUUGGAGUCGCAUUGUGAAAGUAAUGCACAGAAAGAGCUUCUUAAUCUCUGAAUCCUAACAUCUUCAUAUCCAAAAGCUUCAAGUCCACUCCUUCCAAGUUGACCAAGAAG
rnacentral:misc_RNA from 1 species